AUCUAUCAAAAAAAAUCAAAUCAGUUUAUAUCCCAAAUCAGUUUCAAGUUUUUACGUAUAUAUCUGCAAAAGCGGUGGAUAACCAAAUCGGUUUCUUCCUUAACCAAUUUCAUGGAAGUUUUAUGCUUUAUCUUAGCAAGCGUUACGCUUAUAUAAGAGACAUCUAGCCAAAGUUUUCAUCGGAACGAAGGAUUUAGUCGGAGCAAUCACCGGAACGAAGGAUCUAACCGGAGAUUUAACCAGAACGAAUGAGAUCAACAAGAGCUUUUAUCAUAACGAAGAUAAGAAGAAAGACAAAUAAGGUAAUUUCUUUGAAUUUGUGAUGGUACUCUUGUAAUAAAUAGCUCAGAUGUUCCUCUCUCCGAUCCAGACUUGAUUCUAUCUCUUACCAAAGUAGAGGCUUACAUAGAACUAAUUUUUUACCAAACAAACAUUUGGGUCUAUACAAAGCAGAAGCAGUGAUUUUCAGAUAUAUUCAGAGGUAAUAAAACAUUACCUCACUCGAGAUGGGCUAGUUUUUAAUUCAACUAUAUUCGAGGCAAAUUUAAUUCAACCGUCUUAAACUAAAAAAUGCAUGCUUUUUUAAAAAAUUUAGUAUGAAAAAAAUGUGGGAAAUUAAAAAAAAAACAGUAUCCUCAACGGUCUGGAUCUUAAGCUCACCCUUUAUUUAGCUCACCUUGUUCACCUCCCUUUAGCGACGGACCGGGCGACGAUUCGGUCCGUCACUAUAUAUAGAACCGUCGUCUUAACUUUUAGCGACGGACAACACAUAAACGACGGUUCUAUAUAUAGCGACUGAUCGAAUUGUCGCUCGGUCCAUCGCUAAAGGGGGUGAGCAAGGUGAAUUAGAUAAGGCUAGGGGUGAGUUUAAGAUCCGGACCGGUAUCUUCAAAUUUAAUAUCAUAAUUUAUUAUUAUUAGCAAUAUUUAUCUUUAAAUAUGUGAUUGAUAACACUAUGCAUCAAAAUAAUUAUUUCUCACCGCACUUGCUCCAAUUUAAUGUAUUUAUUGUGCUUAUUAUAGUUAAUAUAUAAAUGGAGGUGAAUGAUAAUUAAUAAAAUGAAGUGACACAAAAUGUUUAGUUAAUAUUUGGAAUUAAUAUUUAAACAUAAAGACUUUUUAUCAAUCCUCUAAUAUUGGUCUAAUUUAUGUGAAUGUCCUAAUAUCGAUUUAGUAAUUUUUACAAUUUACUUUAAGUUAUAAGUCCAUAUUUUUCAAAUACCUUCACAACUUAUUUAAUUUGCAAGUCAAAUUGGUAUUAAAUAUUUUUACUUAUAAAUCAUCAUUUAAAAAUUUAACUUAUAACUCAGUUAAAUUAAAUUAUUAUCAUACACUCCUUCAUUCUAGAAAAUUAUUAAAUUCACAACAGAAAAUAUUAGUUCUACAACAAAAGUGUCGUUACAGAUCAUUUAGCGACGGUUUUCACCAUCGCUAUACAUCUACAGUGACAUUUUUGUUGUGAAAAUAACAAAAAGUAUUGUGGAUUUAACAACUCCCACAUUUUAUUACUGAGUUUAAAAAUGGACGAAAAAUAAAAAAAAAUGGAUGAAAAAUUUAAGUUUUCUACCCAAUUCCUUUGAUACUGAGGUUUUUAAUAAAUGAAGAAGUAAAGAAAUUGAAGAAAAACUUGACUACUUUUUUUGUCAAACUUUUUUCGUCUAAAAAUGAACUGAUUUUGACAAAAAAUUAUAUAACAUAAGAUCAUUUUUAUGAUCCUUAUUAUACCCUCUGAAUUAUAAACAUAAUAAAGAUAAUUUAGUAAUUUAAAUAUAAAACUUUAGUUUUCUUUUCUUUUCCUAUAUAAACUCAGUAAUAACAUAAAAAAACACAUACAACUUUUUUUUUUCAUUAUAAAUUAAAUUUUCAUUAUUUUCCUUUUCGUCCCAAACUCGAAAAACAGUGUUAGUUCUUGGAUUCAUUCAAAUUCUUUUUUUAUAUUGUUCAACGGUAAAUUAUUGUACUGAAUCAGUCCGAACCGUACCUGUUGGGCGUGAAUAUUUAGGCCCGGAUGAUACGGUGGGUCGUAGUCCACGUGGAAGAAUUUUACCCUGUGUAAGAAUUUGUUUUGGCAGUUGAGUAUUUUAAGGAAUUAAAGAUUCCUAAUUACAUUUGAUUUUCAACUCCUAAGGAAAGAUUCAAGAUACAAUCUGAUUUCCUUUCCUUAAAAAGAUUGACUAUAAUCCCAUUAAGGUAUUUUAUAUAAUGAGGAUUCAUAUUCCAAUACGGGGAAUGACUUGGAGAAUGUGGUGUAAUCACUAUAAAUACACGACUACACCCUCAUUAUGAAAUAUAACUUUAUUUUACAGCACUAGAGUAUUAUGCCUCCAUUGUUAAACUUUAUUCAGUCUGUACUUAUUAUCACACCGAAGCUAUCUCCCGGCCGUCAAGUUUCUCUGUAUGACUUCGUUUUUGUGCAGGAUUGGACGCGCUAUUGAUGAUUGAGGCGCGUUGACAAAUCUUGGCGUUAACAAUAUCGAUUACUGAAUUCACAAAAAAAUAGGUAUUAAUACUGAUUAUACCGGUAUCCAGUACUGUUAGCCCGGUUCGGUAUCACGACAGUACCAGUUUUUACCUAUUCUUGUACCGAUCAGUUGAGAGUGAUCGGAGAGGCAGCGAGCAAAAAAUUAAG
rnacentral:lncRNA from 1 species